rnacentral:tRNA from 1 species
GCAGUUGGUAGCUCAGUGGUAGAGUGCAUACUUUGUGUUUAUGACGUCCUGGGUUCAAAUCCCAGGUCGCCGUUGCA